GAGAAAUGCUGACGUCAUGGUUCUCCGGGCCUGAAUGUUUCAAUCUCGGAGCUAAGAGGGAAUCCGGUGCGCCGACGAUCGGCAAGGCCGGAGCUGCCCCCGCAACUGUAAGCGGCGAGCCUUUGUCCAUCCACGUCACUGGGGUGAAAACCCCCGGGAAGACGGGCAAAGGCGACGACCCGUAAGCCAGGAGACCUGCCAGGACAAAAUAACGUCCA
rnacentral:ncRNA from 1 species